AGCUUUGCACAGUGGCAGUGUCAUAGCCAAUGAGGUUUAACCAAGGUGUGAUUAUUGCUAAUUGAAAUCAAAUUCAGAAGGCCAAUCUAUUGAACACUGGUCUGGAAGUCAAAAGACAAGAUUUUUUUGCAUCUGCUCUUCCAUUGUGUGACUUUGGGCAAUUUACUUCCUUUUUGAAGG
rfam:Monodelphis domestica chromosome 2, whole genome shotgun sequence.